rnacentral:rRNA from 1 species
AUUGAACGCUGGCGGCAUGCUUUACACAUGCAAGUCGAACGGUAACAGGUUAAGCUGACGAGUGGCGAACGGGUGAGUAAUGCAUCGGAACGUGCCCGGUCGUGGGGGAUAACGCAGCGAAAGCUGCGCUAAUACCGCAUACGAUCUAAGGAUGAAAGCGGGGGACCGUAAGGCCUCGCGCGAUCGGAGCGGCCGAUGUCAGAUUAGGUAGUUGGUGGGGUAAAGGCUCACCAAGCCAACGAUCUGUAGCUGGUCUGAGAGGACGACAAGCCAAACUGGGACUGAGACACGGCCAAGACUCCGACGGGAGGCAGCAGUGGGGAAUUUUGGACAAUGGGCGAACGCCUGAUCCAGCAAUGCCGCGUGCAGGAAGAAGGCCUUCGGGUUGUAAACUGCUUUUGUACGGAGCGAAAAGGUCUCCUCUAAUACAGGGGGCUCAUGACGGUACCGUAAGAAUAAGCACCGGCUAACUACGUGCCAGCAGCCGCGGUAA